CUGGAGAGUGGCGCACGGGUGAGUAACGCGUGGGGACCUACCUCUUAGUGGGGGAUAACGGUUGGAAACGACCGCUAAUACCGCAUACGCCCUUCGGGGGAAAGAUUUAUCGCUAAGAGAUGGACCCGCGUUGGAUUAGAUAGUUGGUGAGGUAACGGCUCACCAAGUCAGCGAUCCAUAGCUGGUUUGAGAGGAUGAUCAGCCACACUGGGACUGAGACACGGCCCAGACUCCUACGGGAGGCAGCAGUGGGGAAUAUUGGACAAUGGGGGCAACCCUGAUCCAGCCAUGCCGCGUGAGUGAAGAAGGCCUUCGGGUUGUAAAGCUCUUUCAGAUGCGAAGAUGAUGACGGUAACAUCAGAAGAAGCCCCGGCUAAUUUCGUGCCAGCAGCCGCGGUAAUACGAAAGGGGCUAGCGUUGUUCGGAUUUACUGGGCGUAAAGGGCACGCAGGCGGUCUUGCCAGUCAGGGGUGAAAGCCCGGGGCUCAACCCCGGAACUGCCUCUGAUACUGCAAGACUAGAGACUAGGAGAGGGUGGUGGAAUUCCCAGUGUAGAGGUGAAAUUCGUAGAUAUUGGGAGGAACACCAGAGGCGAAGGCGGCCACCUGGACUAGAUCUGACG
rnacentral:rRNA from 1 species